rnacentral:rRNA from 1 species
CCUACGGGCGGCAGCAGUGGGGGAUAUUGCACAAUGGGCGAAACCCUGAUGCAGCGACGCCGCGUGGGCGAAGAAGUAUUUCGGUAUGUAAAGCUCUAUUAGCAGGGAAGAAGAAAUGACGGUACCUGAGUAAGAAGCACCGGCUAAAUACGUUCCCGCAGCCGCGGUAAUACGUAUGGUGCAAGCGUUAUCCGGAUUUACUGGGUGUAAAGGGAGCGCAGGCGGUACGGCAAGCCUGAUGUGAAAGCCCGCGGCCCAACCGCGGGACUGCAUUGGAAACUACCGGGCUGGAGUGCCGGAGAGGUAGGCGGAAUGCCUAGUGUAGCGGUGAAAUGCGUAGAUAUUAGGAGGAACACCAGUGGCGAAGGCAGCCUACUGGACGGUGACUGACGCUGAGGCACGAAAGCGUGGGGAGCAAACAGGAUUAGAUACCCUAGUAGUC